rnacentral:lncRNA from 1 species
CACUCAUCAUCUCAAUUCAAAUUUGUAAACACUUUUAUUUUAUCAAGGAUGCCUGCGAGCUCCAUCACCAUUUUCAUCAUCAUCUGUAAUUGCUAGUAGGCAAAAUUGUAAGUCUACAUUUCAAAGUUUAAUAAACUUAUUUUCAAAAUAUACCUGCAUCAUUAAUUUUAAUUCAUUAUUUUCAUUAUGAAGAAUAUUUUCAUAACCACUGAUUUUGAAUGGCAUAAAAUUCUUACUCAUAGUCAAUUAAUUCAGUAUCUCAAAUUCAAGGUAAAUACCGAUCAGUGUUUCAUCAUCUUCUUCUUGUCUGUUUAUAAUAUUUGGUAUGAUAUAUGCACUCCCAAUGAACAUAAUGACUGUAGUCUUAAUUGUUGUCCCCAUAAUCUUUAUCAUCGUCAAUAGAUAGGCUUCCGUCCCAUUUGGUGUAUAUAUAUAUAUAUAUAUAUAUAUUGUGAUUGUGGUGCAAUUUCUAUGGUGAUUAUGGAAUUCCAUUAGUGGAAAUUAUGAUUUGCAUUGUGGUUGCAAUAUUUCAUAAUUUCUAUGAAUGUGUGAUAUAUAUAUAUAUAUAUAUAUAUAUAUAUAUAUAUAUAUAUUGUGAAUCACUCACGUGUGGGGAUGUGAGUACAGAUUUUGUGGAUUGGAAUUACAGGUUCCCUGGAUGAUUUUGAUGACCUGGGAGUGAAAGGGACUGUGAGGUUCCCCUAGGAUUUGAUCCCCUAAACCUUCAGAGGGUGUUAUACAGUCAGGCUACUCCUAUGGGAUAGUCUAUGUGGUAUAGCCGUUGGGAAUGGACACUCCUGGAUGGAGAGUUACCAGGAGUUAGGGGCACCACGUGUUGCCUUGGGUUUCGAUCCCCUAAACCUUUGGAGGCCUACACGGUCGAACAUGUACCAUAUCCUGUGGGGAGGGUAAUUGGUUCUAGGGUAUAUGAUUAAAUGGACACUCUUGUUACCCUACUUCAUGUUGUUGUGGUCAAAUUUGAUUAUUACUUCAUGUUGUUGUGGUCAAAUUUGAUUAUUACUUCAUGUUGUUGUGGUCAAAUUUGAUUAUGUUAGCACACAAAUUCUGGAGGUAAAUCGUGGUGACGGUUAUGUAAAGCCAAUGAUGGUAAGUGAUUUUACCAAUGAUUAUGAUUAGAAAUUCCAAUGAUUUGGCUGGAAUUUCUAAUAUUUGACUUGUCAAUUCUGAUGGUUUAGCUUGAUAUUAUGAUAUUCACUUAGCCGCUGAUGAUUAUGGUUUGGUAUUGUGAUAAUUGUUUGGCCGAUAAUGGUUUGGUUGGAAAUUAUGAUAUUUGGUUGCCAAGGAUGAAAAUGGCAAAAAAAUUUCUAAUGUUUGAUAUCGCCAGUGAUUGUGGCUAGAAAUUUUGAGGAAGAAUCGUGGUAACGGCUACGUAUAGCCAAUGAUGGUAAGUGGUGUACCAAUGAUUGUGAUAUUUAUUUUGCCAAUGUGAAUUAUGACUUAAGGGGAUAUUUAUUUUGCAAAUGUGUAUGGCUAGAAUUUCCGAUAUUUAUUCUACCAAUGAGCGUGGUAGGAAACCUAAGUAUAAAUGAUUACUUUGUGGAAGUAUUUAUUUUUGGGACUUGAAUAAAAUCGUAGACUGAGGUAUGAUUUUAUUCACUAUAAAUGGAAUGUUGGAAUUAGCGUUAAUCCCUUUUCGUUAUUCGAUGGUUGAAAUCUCGAGGACGAGAUUUAUUAUAUUGGGGGUCGAAUGUAACACCCUGAAUAUUUUAAAAAUGAUGUCGAUAUUCAUUUUAUUGUUUAUGUGGAGGAAGAAAAAAACAUAUCAAUUUAUGGUUAUGAAAUUCGAAUGGGGAAAAAUGUGAAAUCCCUCUUUUGAAUUAAGAAUUAAUUAUGUCGUAUAAUUUUUCGUUAAGUGAGGAAUGACGAAAAUGCCUUUUUUGGUUAGCGUAAUUAUACGAG